rnacentral:rRNA from 1 species
CAUGGUUUUUUGAUUAUAAUUUAAAAUUUGAUCUGCUCAAUGAUAAUUUAAAUUGCCGCAGUAUAUUAACUGUGCAAAGGUAGCAUAAUAAUUAGUUUCUUGAUUAGAAGCUGGAAUGAAUGAUUGGACGAUAAAAUAACUGUCUCUAAAUAAUUUUUUAAUGAAUUUUAUUUUUAAGUUAAAAAGCUUAAAUUUUUUUAAAAGACGAGAAGACCCUAUAGAGUUUAAUAUAAAUAUUAUUUAUAAUUUUAGUAAAAUUUUUUUAAUGUUUUUAUUUAGUUGGGGUGACUUGAAAAUUUAAAUAAUUUUUUAAUAUUAUAAUUUUUAAUUAGAAAAUUACUUAUCUAUUUUUUUAAAAAUAAAAUAAAUUACCUUAGGGAUAACAGCGUAAUUUUUCUUUAAAGUUCAUAUUAAAAGAAAAGUUUGCGACCUCGAUGUUGGAUUAAAAUUAAUCUUUGG